ACGCUGGCGGCACGCCUUAUACAUGCAAGUCGAACGCAGUAGCAAUACUGAGUGGCAGACGGGUGAGUAUAAUGUGGGAAUCUGCCUUUUGGUUUGGAAUAACUCGGGGAAACCUGAGCUAAUACUGGAUAAGCCCUUACGGGGAAAGCUUUAUGCGCCAAAAGAUGAGCCCGCACUUGAUUAGCUUGUUGGUGAGGUAAAAGCUCACCAAGGCAACGAUCAAUAGCUGUUCUUAGAGGAAGACCAGCCACAUUGGGACUGAGACACGGCCCAGACUCCUACGGGAGGCAGCAGUAAGGAAUCUUGCACAAUGGGGGAAACCCUGAUGCAGCGAUGCCGCGUGAGUGAAGAAGGCCUUUGGGUUGUAAAACUCUUUCGUCGGGGAAGAAAAUGACUGUACCCGAAUAAGAAGGUCCGGCUAACUUCGUGCCAGCAGCCGCGGUAAUACGAAGGGACCUAGCGUAGUUCGGAAUUACUGGGCUUAAAGAGCUCGUAGGUGGUUAGAAAAGUUGGUGGUGAAAUCCCAAGGCUCAACCUUGGAACUGCCAUCAAAACUUUCUAGCUUGAGUGUGAUAGAGGAAAGUGGAAUUUCUAGUGUAGAGGUGAAAUUCGUAGAUAUUAGAAAGAACACCAAAUGCGAAGGCAACUUUCUGGAUCACUACUGACACUGAGGAGCGAAAGCAUGGGUAGCGAAGAGGAUUAGAUACCCUCGUAGUCCAUGCUGUAAACGAUGUGUGCUAGACGUUGGAAAUUUAUUUUUCAGUGUCGCAGCAAAAGCGUUAAGCACACCGCCUGGGGAGUACGACC
rnacentral:rRNA from 1 species